rnacentral:misc_RNA from 1 species
ACAUACAGAAACAGAAGCAAAUGAGACAGAACUGUGGUUGUUCUCUAAGAUGUGAUACAGUUACAUUUUGUUCUGUUGUUGCCUUUUAACUGAAGUGCCAGUAUGUAUGACAUGUGUCAUAUCAGCCUAUGUUGUGGUGGCUGGUCAUUAUACUGUCUGGUCCAUCGGCCAUCACGGACCAACAUCCUGUCUGGUCAACAGACUGAGGCCCCUGCUGAAGAAAUACAGAGUCACUGUGUACUUGUCUGGCCAUGACCACAAUCUGCAGGUAUGUAAGUGAGUGCACGCUCAAUCAUAAAAAAUAUCAUGUGUAAAUGAUACACAUCAAGGAAGUGUAUCUCAGUGUGUUGUUAUUUGUCUGUCUGUCUCUUUGACAGUUAUUUAUUCUUUUUCAUAUCCCACUUAUCACACUGUGUUUGAGAAGAGCAUGUGCAAGAUUGCCCCUCUCUGUACAGGAGGUGGCAUUCACUAGUGGGUGCUACAAAGACUGUACUUGUUGAUAGUUCAAAGCUAGUUUGCAUCAUUUUCUGGCACCAAGACUGGCAUGUGCCCACAUUACACAAUCACAGGUUUUAUACAUUUCCAAAAAUUAGAAACCAUCCAGAUAGUUAUUGGGUUAAAUGAUACUUUGUUUCAACGGAUAUUACUGGUCAAUAUAAUUAGUCAUAAAGAUGAAAUCUUAUUUAUUUUAUAUGAGCCAAUGUUGACAUAUUGUUCCAGGAAGAUGAGCAUUUGUUUUUCCUGCAGUAGUAUAACUUACAGUCCAACAAUUGGCUUCAACUUAUCUCAAUGAAGUAAAUGAUUGCACAAUGUGAUGGCUACUGAGUAAAGACAACAUUAAGAAUGGUACACUGUAAGCCUUAUCUUCACUAUGCAAGUCUGUAUGGCACAAAAUGACCGUAAAAAAACUAAAGUCACUGCACAACAGAAGCAGAAAGGGAGGGGGGAUUGAAAAGAUGGAAACAAUUACAUAGAAUGAUACACUGUGAUGGAAUAUCUGGUAACUUCAUCUACCACUUGUAUGAUAUGGUUUUAUAUUUAAUUUUAUAAUUACCUCAACAUUAUGAAGUGAUCUGUGUGUCUGUAAAACACGUUGGAGCAAGAGGAAUCUACUGUGCAACGUGAGUGUUGCAGUCUAAGCAUACAGAUGUGUUGAUUGUCAAUAUGUGUGUGUCAGUGUAAGAGGGAAUCAAUGUGCUGCAUAAAGCCCUACAAUGAAAUAAGAUUGGAAACAAGUGGUUGAUAUGAGAACAGUUCAAUCAGGAGAGACUUUAACUUGACAGUUGAAUAUUUUUUUUAUUUCUAUGCAAUUAAGUCUUUUGGCAUUUUGACCCCUAUGUGAUGUCAUCGGCAUCAGAGGGGUUGAUGGAGAAAUAAUUAUGAAUGACUCUGCUGGACUGGACCAUGGCUUCGGAUUAAACCGGAGGAGAUUGGGUUGAAGGGGAGUUACAGCGGAUCACUAAUGACAGCUGACUGCCGGAGAGAGGAGAAAGGAUUUCAAAUUUGAUCACAACCGCACGACUGGCUGGAUGAGAUUGUGGCAAUAUCUGAAUGGCCAUUCAAAAUGCCCACAAUCAGCUGAUUAAUAAGAAGAAAUAUAUAUAGAGAGAUAGAUUUGUGAGUAAUUGAAUAUUUCAAAUUUCAAAUUUAUAUAGCACGGUAUCACAACAAGCAGUUGUCUAAGGGUGCUGCACAAAAGUCCAAGUCCAAGAAGAAACACAAAAUCCAACUUGUUCCACACCGAGCAAGCAUGAGCAACAGCCGGGAGGAAAAACUCCCAGGUGUAAGAAACCUCCGGCAGAACUGGGCUCUGUGUGGACGGCCUCUGCCAGGAACGGUUUAUGAGAAAGUCUUCCUGAAUUAUACUUCCUACUUAUACUGC